AGUCCCGGCUAGGGACACAGCUCUUAGACUUUGAGCUAGACAACCAGGAGGACAGGAGGACCUAGUAUCCUGCCUCCAUCAGCCCAUCAUUUAUGCAAAUGCUACUUAGUUGCCGUCUAGAUGCAGGAUGCUGUCUGCCCUGUUAAAUGCUGUGUGAACCCAGAUGGAAGCUGAGCAGACAUCACACUCGUGAGCAGCUCCCCUUCCUGUGAGCAUCUCCCCUUCCUGUUUCAGGCUGGCCUUGAACUUACAGGGAUUCACCUGCCUCUGCCUCCCAGAUGCUGAGAUUAAAGGCAUGUGCCAUCACCACCUGAACAACAGCAGCUUUCUAAGGAACCAGUAAGGCACUACAGACUUUUCAUAUAACAUCACCUUCAUUCUCUCACAACUAAUUCUACAAAACAGAUGUUAUACGACCUCGUUCGCUGAAGUCAAAGAUGCAGAGGGGCCAAGGUGUGGGCUCCGGACCUCACACCAGUGUGGCAGAUUCAACAAGCCCAGAAUAAGCCUCUUCCUUUGCUCACAAUAAGAUUUAUUAUAGAAGCAACAACUUCUGCAUACCAGAGGUGAGAGAUGCAGCAAUCCUCUCCGUGCUCAUGAAGCUUAAAAUUUGGGGGAGAAAGUAGAGAAAAAUUAAGCCAACUGCCUCUUCAUUCCUCAGUCACACUCCUCCUCUGACCCUGCUCCAGGAGGCUCAUCUUGUCAGACUUCACACUGAAUGAGCGCUGAGGAUGCUGUAGAGUAUGAGCUGUGUGCAGGUUUCAAAAGCAAUUUGUGCCCCUGAAACAAGCCAACCAGCAGAGAAGGAACAAAAGAAACAUGGUGUCUUCUACCUCCAGCCUUGAAGCUUCCAGACCUCCCUACACGAACCCCCCCCCCACACCCACUCCCCGAAAUGAUGUCCCAGUGAAGAGCCAGGCUCUUAUCCUUCCAUCCAUGCCUCUCAGGCGUCUGCUUCAUUUAGCAUGUAUGUGCAUUUUACCAGGUUAAUGCAACACAGACUAUUUCCUAGUAGCUGUGAAGCCCAGUGUAGCCUCUGCUGCCGGACACAUGGUUUGUCUCCAGUCUUUCCCUUCCCAGCAAAGCAGCCUUGACUCAUCUCCUUUCUCUAUGACAGAGCCCUUUAGAAUGUACUCACUGGGCCAACGAUGCAGUUUCAAUUUGGGUUUUUAAUGGAAGUGGGUGGCUAGGUAAGUGGGUUGAAUGACUGACUGAUUCUGAAUAGCUCUGAAUUUAUUGAGCUGCUUCCAGGAAGGUCCAGGUGACCUGGGUAGCAGAAAGGACACCCAUUCCUGUUUGAUGGUGUUUUUUUUCUAUCUAUCAUCCUUCCUGUCUUUCCUUCUUUAUUUCUUUCUGGGUGAGACAGGGUCUUAUAAUACAGUUUCAGCCAGCCUGGAACUCAUUAUGUAAACCAGGCUGGUCUCCAGCUCAUGGAGAUGAGCCUGCCUUUGCUUCCCAUGUACUGAAAUUAAAGCCCAGCUUGUUUUUUUCUCUUUACCACACUGGGGAUUCAACCCAAGGCUAGUAAGCACCCUGGCACUGAGUAUAUUCUGGACCUCUUCUUAUUUUAAUGUUGAUGUAGGGUCCUGCUAAGUUUCCCAGACUGACCUUCAACUCACUAUGCAAGUCCAGGCAGGCCUUGAACUCACGAUCCUCCUGGUUCAGCUUCCUGAGCUGAUGAGUGGCAGGCACCAUUAGUCUCAUUCGGAAGGAUGUGCUUCAUCCUUGGUGAAAGCGCUCAUCUCUUGUCUUGGCUGGCUAGAAUUUCCAGGGUGAAGAAAGGAGGAUUAGAAAAGUUCAAGGUCACCCUCCCCUACAUAGAGAGUUCAAGGCCAGGCUGGGCCACAUGAGAAAAACCAAAAGAACAGAUGGUGUUAGCAGGAGGUAGGGAAGGAGUAGGGAGGUCCAGCCCUGGGUGGGGCAGAGCCCCUGCUAAAGACAAGGGACAUUCCUUAGUGUCAACUUUCCCUUAGGAUGGAGAGGAGGGGUUGCUAGCUCGUCACACCCCACAGCCCUGGAGGACAGGAGCUUACUGUUGAGUUAGUGGGGCAGAGUCGGGGAGAGGCUGUCAUUUCGGCAGCCCUGGUACAUGGAGCCACUAGCAGGCUUCUUCGUCUCAUGUCUUCAUCCGCACCACCUCCUAGCAGCCUGCCCUCCCCAACUUGUCCACUUAAAGCCUGGGCCAGUGAGAUGACUCUGCAGAUAAAGGUAUUGUCACCCAGCCUGAGGACCUGAGUUCAAUUUCUGGGUUCCAUAUGAUGGAAGGAGAGAACUGAGUCCCUUAACUUGAUCUCUAACCUGCACAUGUGGAUUGUGAAUGGGCUUAUGUGCCCACACACCCUCUCUCUCACACAAUAAACAUAAGUAAUAAAUGUAUACAUGCAUAUACACAUACAUAAUACACACAUACAUACAUGCUUGAAUGCAUACAUACGUUCGUAUGUAUGUCCUUGCCACUCUCUUGGAACCUGACUCCUACAGAAUGUAACCUUGAUUUGUGCUCCAGGCUCACUUGACACCUGGCUUCUGUGGCUUGUUCGAGUCCUCUGUCUCCCAGACAAUGAGCUAGGAUUCUGGUCAUUCAGGUUCAGCCUGGGUGCAGAGAGUUUUGAGUGGGCCUGUCCACUGGAGACCACUCCUCUCGUCACCCAUGAAGCAUCUAAAGUUAAGUAUGAUGGUGCAGACCUGGAAUCCCAGAAUUCAGGAGGUGGGGGCAGGGAUUUCUAAACUCAGAAGUCAGCCUGAGCUAUCUAGAGAGAUGCUGUUUCAAAAAUUUAAAACAGCCGGGUGUGGUGGCACACGCCUUUAAUCCCAGCACUCGGGAGGCAGAGGUAGGCGGAUUUCUGAGUUCGAGGCCAGCCUGGUCUACAAAGUGAGUUCCAGGACAGCCAGGGAUAUACAGAGAAACCCUGUCUCGAAAAACCAAAAAUAAAAAAUAAAUAAAACAAAACCGAA
rnacentral:lncRNA from 1 species